CGGGGUGUGGCGCAGCCUGGUAGCGCACUUGCAUGGGGCGCAAGAGGUCGCUGGUUCAAAUCCAGUCGCCCCGACCA
rnacentral:tRNA from 1 species